rnacentral:lncRNA from 1 species
UUAAAAAGCCCCUUGUCCUCAAGGUUUCAUUUAUGCUUUACUAGAAUCCCAGACCUUGUAACUUGUGGUUUUGAAAACAAAUUCUAUCACCAUGGUAAGUUUUCUCAUAUCACUAAUAUGAUUAGUUUGAUUUGGAGCAUCGUCCUGUUCGCCUUCAAGAUUGAAGCAUGGAUUGAAAGGUGGUCCAGUUAGUAUGUAUCAACCAUCUUCAUUGCUGCAUAUAAGCUAUUGUUUGUGGACUGUGAUAUUAACUCACUGAAGAAUGGCAGUAUAAAUUUCAGGGCUCAGAAUUUGCUGUAUAAACAUUGAAAGGAUUUAUUAGUUCACUUCCCACAGAAUACCCCACCACAGAAAACAACACAAUCCACCCAAAAAUGAUGCCAACUCUGAGAUUCACCCAGUCCACUUAUUGCCAAUAAUAUACUUUGACAAAGCUAACACCUGUUCACAAUGAAAUUUAUUCCUCUUCCACAAAUUAUUUCUUUCAAUUUUUAAUGUUUAUAUUAUCAAAAUUUGCCAUAAUUUUACCUUUCGAUAUUGUAAAUUCAAUGCUUAUAUUAUCAACUUUUUUUAGAGAAAAGGGAGAAAAAGUAACUACCCAUGUUCUAAUCAAUUAUAUACAAGUAUUGGAUAUCUCCUUACCAAACAUGUCAUCUUCUGCAAUCUAUUGGGUAAAAUGGCAGUAGGGUACCUACAAUAUAUGUUACCUCCGAUUACAAUCAAUACACUGCAAUUUAUCUAAUUAUAAAGAAUAAACCCUAGAUUUCUUACUUGACAACCCAUAUGAGGAAAACUCAUAAAGAACAAACCCUAGAUUUCUAAUGCAACAAACAAAAAUUACAAACCCAAUAAAAUUAAGGAGCUUUACCUUCCGAUCCGUUUGGUAUGAUUUCGUUGGCCGGAGACCUUCCGUUGGCCUUUACCUUUACC